UACGGGGGGGGGCAAGCGUUGUUCGGAAUUACUGGGCGUAAAGGGCUCGUAGGCGGCCAACUAAGUCCGACGUGAAAUCCCCAGGCUUAACCUGGGAACUGCAUCCGAUACUGGCGGGCUUGAAUCCGGGAGAGGGAUGUGGAAUUCCAGGUGUAGCGGUGAAAUGCGUAGAUAUCUGGAGGAACACCGGUGGCGAAGGCGGCGAUCCUGGACCGGUAUUGGACGCUGAGGCGCGAAAGCUAGGGGAGCAAACGGG
rnacentral:rRNA from 1 species